GCUUCCCCUGAACGGUUCGGUUCGGAGCACUCGGCACCACCCCCGGGUAUCCUGCUCGCACGGUAACACACAGCAAUGUGCUUCGGCCAGCAGCCUGCUCUGGAGAAACGGCCGUUCUCCCCGGGAUCCCUCAGAGUCACCCUGGUGACAGCACCCCCUCAGCCAAAGCCGAACAAAAGCCGUGCUGCCCUCGGCCUCGGCGCUCCCCCGAGCAGAGCAACAGGCCGGGAAAGGCGACGGAGGAGGGACCGGGAGGAGGGAUCGCCUAUUGACUGGGGGAGAGGGGCAGCCCCUGCCUCGGGAGAAGACGUGGGACCGAGUCAGCGAGCGCCUUGUUUACCCUGCAAUUGCUCUAACCCUCGAUCCUAAUCACAGGAUGAGAAACCAAAGCAGUUUAAAUCCCCCGGCGCAGCCACUACAAACACCAACCAGCUGGGCAGAGCCCGCCCAAGGUGGGCACUUUCCUGAGCCGCUUCUGCAAACUUUAUAGCCCCGGCUGCAGCCGCGCCGAGUCCGGGCCAGCAACUCUUCCGAGGGUGGCUAAGUCAGUUUAAAGCAACUCCUACUUUUCCAGUACAUAUCGAUUUCAAAUGCUACUUACUGGAAUAUGUGGCUCCAUGCGUGGUGCUUCUACCCGCUGGGAAACCAGCAGCAUCUUGGACUGGGGAUCAACCGGCUUUU